GGUAGUCCACGCCCUAAACGAUGUCUACUAGUUGUCGGGUUUUAAUUAACUUGGUAACGCAGCUAACGCGUGAAGUAGACCGCCUGGGGAGUACGGUCGCAAGAUUAAAACUCAAAGGAAUUGACGGGGACCCGCACAAGCGGUGGAUGAUGUGGAUUAAUUCGAUGCAACGCGAAAAACCUUACCUACCCUUGACAUGUACGGAAGACCGAAGAGAUUUGGUUGUGCUCGAAAGAGAACCGUAACACAGGUGCUGCAUGGCUGUCGUCAGCUCGUGUCGUGAGAUGUUGGGUUAAGUCCCGCAACGAGCGCAACCCUUGUCAUUAGUUGCUACAUUUAGUUGAGCACUCUAAUGAGACUGCCGGUGACAAACCGGAGGAAGGUGGGGAUGACGUCAAGUCCUCAUGGCCCUUAUGGGUAGGGCUUCACACGUCAUACAAUGGUACAUACAGAGGGCCGCCAACCCGCGAGGGGGAGCUAAUCCCAGAAAGUGUAUCGUAGUCCGGAUCGCAGUCUGCAACUCGACUGCGUGAAGUUGGAAUCGCUAGUAAUCGCGGAUCAGCAUGUCGCGGUGAAUACGUUCCCGGGUCUUGUACACACCGCCCGUCACACCAUGGGAGCGGGUUUUACCAGAAGUAGGUAGCUUAACCGCAAGGAGGGCGCUUACCACGGUAGGAUUCGUGACUGGGGUGAAGUCGUAACAAGGUAGCCGUAUCGGAAGGUGC
rnacentral:rRNA from 1 species